CCCAAGCCGAGACACACUCUGCUGUGUGCUUCCAUUAAAAAGAUGAUUCCCUCUAACCGUAACCCUCCAUGUGUCCGCGUACUUUUUCUAAGUGAAAGAUGAUGCUCCUUUUUCGGCUGGACACCUCCAAAUAUCAGGGUGAAUGCUGCUGCUGGACGCUGGACUUGAAGGCUUGCUGGAUGCGUGAAGCUCUAUUUUUCUUCUGCACCCGCGCUGCUACCAUUCACCUCUGGAUACGAAGCUGCUCCUCUUGGACCGUGUUUCUGUCCAAGCUACUGGACGCUCCCCCAUAGGUGGCGGCUGGAGCACACUUUAAUUCCCACAUGUGCCUUGCUGGAUGCAGCAAUCUGGACGCCACCUCCUCAAGACCGUGACAGCGUCUCCAGCCCAAGUGAAUCAACGUGCUGCCGUUU
rnacentral:sRNA from 1 species